GUCUUAGAGGAGACCGAGCAAGCAAGCAAGGGACAGGGUGUGGGAGGGAAAGGGUGUGGAAGCAACAUGCUGACCAGGGGGCGUGGUGCACACUCAUUAUGCUAAUGGGCAUGUGUGGGGUUGCUGUGAUGUGGGCGCUCUAGGUACCCAGACAGACAGAGAGGUUUACUGGCAGGCGGCUACUUGCUACCAACACCGGGCACAAUGGCUGAAACGCAGGUGGGGUUGCACGGACCAUUCCCGGACCCACAGGUCAGGUCAGGUCCAGAAUCGGACUCUGAUUCAGACUCAGAGGGCCUGGGUACGGGCAGUGCUGGGCCAGGCUCAGGCUCCCUGCCCCACUCGCAGGUCAUCCACAGCGGCCACUUCAUGGUCUCCUCGCCGCACAGCGACUCGGUGCCCCGCCGGCGCCACCAUGGUACUGAGCCGGAGCCAGCUGAUCCCCACACCAUCGACCUGACCCUCACUCGGCUCUUCGAGUGCAUGAGCCUGGCCUACAGUGGGAAGCUGGUGUCUCCAAAAUGGAAGAAUUUCAAGGGUCUGAGGCUGCUUUGCAGGGAUAAAAUCCGCCUCAACAAUGCUAUCUGGAGAGCCUGGUACAUCCAAUAUGUGGAGCGGAGGAAGAGCCCCGUGUGUGGGUUUGUGACCCCCCUGGAGGGCUCCGAGGCGGAAGAGCACCGGAAACCCGAGGCUGUUGUGUUGGAGGGGAACUACUGGAAGCGACGUAUCGAGGUGGUGAUGAAGGAGUAUCACAAGUGGAGGAUUUACUACAAGAAGCGGCUUCGAAAGUCCAGCCGGGAGGGUGAGAUUUCCAGCCCGAAGCAGAAUGAGGGUGUGUGGAAGCCAUCGGAGAAAUGGUGCAACCAGCUAUUCUCCAGCGUUGUGCCCAUGCUGCUGGGGGAUGAGAAUGAGGAGGCCGGAGGGCGGCAGCUCUUUGACUUGGACAGCUUCCUCUCGGACAUCUCAGACACACUCUUCACCAUGACGCAGCCCCCCUGCUCCCACCAGACGCUCCCAGAAGACGCCUACACUGGGAACGCCGACAUGAUCCAGCCAGGCCUGACCCCACUGCAGCCAAAUCUUGACGAUUUUAUGGAAAUCUCAGAUCUCUUCACCGGCCACCGCCCACUGCCUAACCAAAUGCAUCUGAGCUACCAAGAGCAGCCCUGCUUCAUGCCCAUGGCUGACACCCUAUAUGGCAGCAGCAGUGCCCCACCUGCCAGCCAUGCAGACCCACUGAUGGCCUCCAGAGCCCUGUCUGCCAGCUACGUUGAUGCCCCAAUCCCGCCCAAUGUCCACCUACAGUCUAGCAGCAACUGCUCCUCCCGGCUCAGCCUGCCUGGCUCAUUCCUCAGCCCUGAUUUCCAGCCAGCCCCGCAGCCCAUGGACCCCCGCAGCGGCCUGUGCUCUGACCUCAAGCACAAGCCCCCGCUCCAUUAUGGGCUCCCCAGCAAGAGUCUCAGCAUGGAGCCCUUCGCCCCUUCCUACUGCACCCCAGCAGCCCCCCCAGGAGCCUUCCUGCUGGGCCAGGACCCCCUGUACCCACCGGCUUCAGCACCGAGAUCCAAAUUCCAUUACUCCAGCUCCAUUAGUGGCUCUUCACUCUCCACACCAUGCUUUACCCAGCAUGCACCAGGCUUGAGCUACAGCGUGGACCUUCUGCCAACAGCAUACCCUGCUCUGUCCAGUGCCCAGCCCCUGCCCCCAGUGAUGCGGAGCGGCCCCAGGUUUGCCACCCCUAAAGAGCAGUCGCCGCCUGGGGGCAGCAGGCCAAUGGUGAAGCCAGCCAGCCCCAAGACAAAGAGACCCAUGGGACUCCCUGUGCCCACGCGUGUGGCUGUGCCCAACCCCUGCCUGACCCAGCUCCUGACUGCAGCUAAACCAGAGCUGGCCCUGGACCCUCCGUCCACUCCCAGUACCACCCUCAUCCCCACGUCGCCAGCCACCCCGGCAGGGGGCCUUGCUGAAGUCCCCUCUGGCUUCCUGCCCCGCAUGGCCCAGCUGAGUCCAGGGCUGUCUCCUGGCUCCAGCCCUUCGCAGUCUGUCCCCAUCACAUUGGCUGUGGCACAGCCAGGAUCCCUGCUUGUCCCCAAGACGGAGCAGCUCUCCCCCCCGUCGGCCUGUGCCAGUGACUGGCUGAAGCCUGGACGAGUCUCCCCGGUGCCGGUUGGGGUGCUGACUGCCGGGAUCUCACUGCAUCACUCCACCCCCAGCCGGGGUAGGCCGGAGUCCAGCAAGACAGAGAGCCGCCGCAUCACGCACAUCUCCGCUGAGCAGAAGAGACGCUUCAACAUCAAGCUGGGCUUUGACACCCUGCACGGGCUGGUGAGCACUCUAAGUGCCCAGCCCAGCAUCAAGGUCAGCAAGGCCACCACACUGCAGAAGACAGCAGAGUACAUCUGCAAGUUGCAGCAGGAGAGGGGCGCCCUGCAGGACGAGGCGCAGCGGCUGCGGGAGCAGAUCGAGGAGCUCAAUGCAACCAUCAACCUGUGCCAGCAGCAGCUGCCCGCCACAGGAGUGCCCAUCACCCGCCAGCGCUUCGACCAGAUGCGUGACAUGUUUGACGAGUAUGUCCGCUCCUGCACGCUGCAGAAUUGGAAGUUCUGGGUUUUCAGCAUCAUCAUCCGGCCUCUGUUUGAAUCCUUCAAUAGCAUGGUCUCCACAGCCAGCAUGGACAGCCUCAGCCAGACGUCACUAGCCUGGCUGGACCAGUAUUGCUCCCUCCCAGCACUUCGGCCUACUGUCCUGAGCUCCCUCCGCCAGCUGAGCAUUUCCACCUCUAUCCUGACUGACCCAGCAUGCAUACCCGAGCAGGCCACCCAGGCAGUGAUGGGGACAGACCCCAGCAACAACUCCUCCUAGUUACAAGGGAGGAACCCGUCACACCUGGAUGUUCUAGAAUGCAGGAGUUUUCCCAUGAAUGUUGUUUGAUGUCAUGUUGCCAAAGGAAUGUCCUGUUCCUAUAUCCCAUGCAUGCCCUGGCUCUGUUCUCCAGCCCCAGAGCACUCACGGAGUCAGCACCUAUGCAAGGCGGAGAUCCUUUGUCUCUCUGGGUCCCCACCUCUCCUUCUAAAUGGAAAAGCACCAGGUUUAAGAUGGAUUCCAGUAUCAUGUGACAUGGUCACAUGUCACUGUAAGACCUCAUGGAAGGCUUGCAGGUAAAUAAACCCAUUCACAACCAA